CUCACACGACUUUAUACUCGUUUUCUUCGCCGACGAUUUUUAAUCGUUUUUCUCGAAUUCGAUUCAUCAUCAUCUCCUUCCACCAUUUGUGAUCCUUCAGUUUCUCCCUCUCUCAAUUUCAUUUGUUUCCUCCUCUUUCGAAUUUUUGGGUUUCUGUUGAUGGAGAUUUUAAUUAAACUUGAUUGCUAGAACUCCCUACUAGGCUAUGAACAUUCCUUUUUCGAAAUAUCUGUGUGGUAGUAUGUGAGCGGUUUUGAUGGUGGUGUUCUCAAUUUGCUUUUUGUUUCAAUUUCUGAUUUGUUUCGUGAUAUCCCAGAUUUGGUUCUAUUUGAUGAGUUUAUAAGGAGAAAGGUAACAUACACUCAUUUUUCAAGCAAUAAACGGAUACAAGAAGGUUUUCAUUGCCUUGGUCAUUACUGUCAGCCAAACAAUCAGCCAUUGAGAGGCUUUGUUCUUGCAGCUCGAGCUAACGAUCCCGAUCAUGAUCAUCGCCCUCCAUUGAAAGAACCGGUGAAGUACACUUUAGUUUGGAGUUCAGAUUCAGAUUGCUACUUCUGGUUGCCUGUUCCUCCAGCUGGUUACAGAGCCGUGGGAGUGAUUGUCACAGACGAAGCAGAGGAGCCUAAGGUUGAAGAAGUGAGAUGUGUUAGAGAGGAUCUUACAGAGAGUUGUGUACUCGUCGAAACACAGGUUGAUGCGUCGGAUCUUGAGUUUGUCAAAGGAAGCAACAAACCGGUACGUACUCGUCGAAACACGGACACGCGAGUUUUCUUCACCCUGGAUUGUAUCUUCAAGGCUCGUCGAAGCUAGGAAUUGGAGUGAGAAACGAUGCUGGGAAAAGCAAGUAUGUGGUGAAUUUUAGUCAAAGGUAUAGAAUUGUAGCAGCUGAGUAUUUAGGGGAAGGAGCGGUUUCAGAGCCGUGCUGGCUGCAAUACAUGAAAGAGUGGGGACCAACUAUAGUUUAUGAUUCUGCAGCUGAGAUUGAUAAGAUUAUUGCAGUAUCUAUCUAGCCAUUUGAAACUUGUUGUUAAUUGUGCUUCUAUACAUUGUUUUUAUACGAGAUUGUGUGUAUUUGCACGGUCCAGCUCACACCAAUGCUGGUUGGUUCAAUGAUUUCUUGAACACAAUCUUCUUGUCUUCAACGAUGGUGGCGAUGAUGAUUGCAGUGUUC